CACAACAUGAACUGCCUUAAAGGGUAGCAGCACUAGGAAGGUUGAGAACCCCUGGAACCUCAAGCUUUCCCUCUGAAAAGAAACAAAGCGGCGGCGGCAGAUGCGUCCGAAGGGAGGGGAGCGGAGCUCGGCGGCCCGGACCCCCGGACCCCAGGCGAGUGAGACAUGUCAGCUCCUGGCAGCACCCUCAUGCUACUUCAGAGAAGAUGAUGGUCAUUGAAGAACCUCCAUAUGGAGUUUGCUUCAGCUGCAGCAAUGGGCAAGAAACUGCCCUUGCCUCGAUUGCAGACAGCCUGCUAUCCAAACUGGACAAUCUGAACACAGGGAAGUCGACUGCCAAGCUUUGCCAAGACAAGGUGCGGAGCGUGCAGCGAUGCAGAGGAAAGCAACUAGGAGACCUGCCUCGGAAGAAACACAUUGCAACAGCCUGCCGUGACGCCUCUUCCGCCUGUUUGGGGGACCUUACAUGGGCAAAGAUGGCAUCUUUACCUCACUGAUCUACUACAGUCUGCUGGAAGGGGCUUUCGCCAGGACCACUUGAGGUCUUGAAAAAGAUUCAUAUCUGUCAGUGCCAGUGGGACAGCGGUUGGUUCAGCGGAUGAAGGUGUGCCACCAAGCCAGACCACUGGAGUUCAGGCCCUGGGGCCUACCCGGUGGAAGAAAACCAUUCCCUCAGAUUAUAUCCUGUGAGUUCCACACAUGGGCCAUACUGUGUGCACCCCCCUUGCAAAACUAAGUGUGAAACAAAAGAAUUUCUGUUAUUGAUGUGUAUGUUUGUGUUGGUGUGUGCAGGGGCUCAUGGAAUCUAAGAGAGAACCUGAGGUCCCUGGAGCUGGAAUUGCAAGCAGUCAAACCUGGUUCCUCUGCAAGAGCAGGAGGAGCGCUUAGCCGCUGAGCCAUCUAUCUCUCCAGCUCCAACCUGAGGCCUCUCAGUUGGAUCUGCUUUUCCAGUGCACCUGAAACUCUUGUUGCCUGGAUCUUGCCCUGACCCCAAAGAUCCCAAAGAUGAGAACUAAAAUAAAUAAAUAAAAAUUUUACACUAAAGGAUGACAAGAACAAAAAUAAAUAAAAACACAAAGCAUAAAUGUAAA